UACACACAGAACACUUGAUCCGUAACCACUGAGGGAGACAUCCAGACCCCUGCACCGCCAGGCUAGAUGCCAUCAUGUUGGGUCCAUGGAGGAAGACAUUUGCCUUCAGUGGUGAUUAUGUGUGGACGGUCUCUGACAUAGGGCACAAUGCACCCAUGAAGAUCGACCAGCUGUGGAUGGACUGCCUGGGAACCUGAACGCAGCCGUUUACUCUCAGAGAACCAACAAAACAUACUUUUUAAAGGUGAUAAAGUGUGGAGAUAUACCAGUUUUCUCCUGGACUACGGGUAUCCCAAAGAGGUGAAAC